UGAACGCUGGCGGCGUGCUUAACACAUGCAAGUCGAACGAAGCACUUAAGAUUGAUUCUUCGGAUGACGUCUUUUGUGACUUAGUGGCGGACGGGUGAGUAACGCGUGGGUAACCUGCCUCACACAGGGGGAUAACAGUUAGAAAUGACUGCUAAUACCGCAUAACCCGAUAGGAUCGCAUGAUCCAGACGGAAAAGAUUUAUCGGUGUGAGAUGGACCCGCGUCUGAUUAGCUAGUUGGUGAGGUAACGGCCCACCAAGGCGACGAUCAGUAGCCGGCCUGAGAGGGUGAACGGCCACAUUGGGACUGAGACACGGCCCAAACUCCUACGGGAGGCAGCAGUGGGGAAUAUUGCACAAUGGGGGAAACCCUGAUGCAGCGACGCCGCGUGAGUGAAGAAGUAUUUCGGUAUGUAAAGCUCUAUCAGCAGGGAAGAAAAUGACGGUACCUGACUAAGAAGCCCCGGCUAACUACGUG
rnacentral:rRNA from 1 species